rnacentral:lncRNA from 1 species
AAGAAAUAAAAAAAGGAAGAAAAAAAAGGGUAACCCACUAUCCAACUUAAUUCAAUCCACAAAUUUGUGUUUUUACCCAAACCAACCCAAUGAUGUUGUGGGUGGUUCUUUUACCUUAUCCAAACCGGUGUAUCAUGUAUGGGUUAGGUCAUAGUUUUGGCUAAAUUCAACCCAAACCGACUCAUGUACACACCUUACCCUUAAUAAUCUCAAAUUCUAUGGAAAUUAAAA